UUUUAUGGAGAGUUUGAUCCUGGCUCAGAGUGAACGCUGGCGGCGUGCCUAAUACAUGCAAGUCGAACGAUGAAG
rnacentral:rRNA from 1 species